CCCAGAGGUAUUGAUGGGUGAACAUCAAAAAGUCUUCAUGCUUUAAUUUCACCAACCUGCGCCGAUGCGCAGGUUUUUUUU
rnacentral:sRNA from 1 species